rnacentral:rRNA from 1 species
UAGGGAAUCUUCCGCAAUGGGCGAAAGCCUGACGGAGCAACGCCGCGUGAGUGAUGAAGGUCUUCGGAUCGUAAAACUCUGUUAUUAGGGAAGAACAAAUGUGUAAGUAACUAUGCACGUCUUGACGGUACCUAAUCAGAAAGCCACGGCUAACUACGUGCCAGCAGCCGCGGUAAUACGUAGGUGGCAAGCGUUAUCCGGAAUUAUUGGGCGUAAAGCGCGCGUAGGCGGUUUUUUAAGUCUGAUGUGAAAGCCCACGGCUCAACCGUGGAGGGUCAUUGGAAACGGGAAAGCUUGAGUGCAGAAGAGGAAAGUGGAAUUCCAUGUGUAGGGGUGAAAUGCGCAGAGAUAUGGAGGAACACCAGUGGCGAAGGCGACUUUCUGGUCUGGAACUGACGCUGAUGUGCGAAAGCGUGGGGAUCAAACAGG